AGCAUUUGAGUUUGCGACAUUUUAAAUUCUAUUUAUAUUAACAGGUGGUGGUAUGAGUUCUGACCCUGGUGCAUGAGAGUAUCUUGGUGUCUUGACCUGGCUGAAGGUGGCUGCCUCCUCCUCUUAUCCUUAUGGUAGCUGGUACUCCUGGUGAGAGUUGGAUCAGAGAUCUCCCUUGGUGGUGUUUGUGGCUACCCGCCAGUGCAGUGGGGCUGAGGCGAUCCAGGAGGCAGCCGCCCUCAUGCAGUGUUGGAGUGCGGUCCAACUGUCCGAGUCUAUUUUAACUUUCUCUUUUAUGGAAUUUGUGUCAAGUUUUUAAUAAAUUGUAUAUCUUUAACCUUUA